UGCAGUCGACGAACUCUGGUAUUGAUUGGUGCUUGCAUCAUGAUUUACAUUUGAGUGAGUGGCGAACUGGUGAGUAACACGUGGGAAACCUGCCCAGAAGCGGGGGAUAACACCUGGAAACAGAUGCUAAUACCGCAUAACAACUUGGACCGCAUGGUCCGAGCUUGAAAGAUGGCUUCGGCUAUCACUUUUGGAUGGUCCCGCGGCGUAUUAGCUAGAUGGUGGGGUAACGGCUCACCAUGGCAAUGAUACGUAGCCGACCUGAGAGGGUAAUCGGCCACAUUGGGACUGAGACACGGCCCAAACUCCUACGGGAGGCAGCAGUAGGGAAUCUUCCACAAUGGACGAAAGUCUGAUGGAGCAACGCCGCGUGAGUGAAGAAGGGUUUCGGCUCGUAAAACUCUGUUGUUAAAGAAGAACAUAUCUGAGAGUAACUGUUCAGGUAUUGACGGUAUUUAACCAGAAAGCCACGGCUAACUACGUGCCAGCAGCCGCGGUAAUACGUAGGUGGCAAGCGUUGUCCGGAUUUAUUGGGCGUAAAGCGAGCGCAGGCGGUUUUUUAAGUCUGAUGUGAAAGCCUUCGGCUCAACCGAAGAAGUGCAUCGGAAACUGGGAAACUUGAGUGCAGAAGAGGACAGUGGAACUCCAUGUGUAGCGGUGAAAUGCGUAGAUAUAUGGAAGAACACCAGUGGCGAAAGCGGCUGUCUGGUCUGUAACUGACGCUGAGCUCGAAAGUAUGGGUAGCAAACAGGAUUAGAUACCCUGGUAGUCCAUACCGUAACGAUGAAUGCUAAGUGUUGGAGGUUUCCGCCCUUCAGUGCUGCAGCUAACGCAUUAAGCAUUCCGCCUGGGGAGUAC
rnacentral:rRNA from 2 species